AAAAGAAACCAACAGGGAUUGCCUUAGUAGCGGCGAGUGAAGCGGCAAAAGCUCAAAUUUGAAAUCUGGCUCUUUCAGAGUCCGAGUUGUAAUUUGAAGAAGGUAUCUUUGGGUCUGGCUCUUGUCUAUGUUUCUUGGAACAGAACGUCACAGAGGGUGAGAAUCCCGUGCGAUGAGAUGAUCCAGGCCUAUGUAAAGUUCCUUCGAAGAGUCGAGUUGUUUGGGAAUGCAGCUCUAAGUGGGUGGUAAAUUCCAUCUAAAGCUAAAUAUUGGCGAGAGACCGAUAGCGAACAAGUACAGUGAUGGAAAGAUGAAAAGAACUUUGAAAAGAGAGUGAAAAAGUACGUGAAAUUGUUGAAAGGGAAGGGCUUGAGAUCAGACUUGGUAUUUUGUAUGUUACUUCUUCGGGGGUGGCCUCUACAGUUUAUCGGGCCAGCAUCAGUUUGGGCGGUAGGAGAAUUGCGUUGGAAUGUGGCACGGCUUCGGUUGUGUGUUAUAGCCUUCGUCGAUACUGCCAGCCUAGACUGAGGACUGCGGUUUAUACCUAGGAUGUUGGCAUAAUGAUCUUAAGUCGCCCGUCUUGAAACACGGACC
rnacentral:rRNA from 2 species